CAGUGAUUCACGCAGUGCAGCAUUUGGGCUGGUCUGCUGGAUGCACAGCACACCAUGGCUAUACGAGCAGUAUAUAUUACAAUCAAAUGCUGCACAGAUACGGUUAUAUUUCAUCGAACAGUUGGUGUACCCGAUCUCCUCAACGUUGUACUACAGCUUGCCGGCCCGAUUGACACCGGUGGUCAGCCACAGCUUGCCCCUGCUCUCCGCCACAUCCGCAGCGCCGCGCGACGCCAUAUUCCUAUGCCCAGAUCCGCAGAAUCCAGCGAGGUCACAGUCUCAGGACGAGCCAACACAGACCUGAACUCGACUCUUGAGGAGGCGGACAGCGCAGCAUCGAGGAAGGAGUUGAGGUGCUGCUCCUUGCCAU
rnacentral:misc_RNA from 1 species